UACAGAGGGGGCAAGCGUUAUUCGGAAUUAUUGGGCGUAAAGGGCGCGUAGGCGGCUUGGCAAGUGGAAGGUGAAAUCCCUCGGCUUAACCGAGGAACUGCCCUCCAAACUGCUUGGCUUGAGACCGGGAGAGGUGAGUGGAAUUCCCAGUGUAGCAGUGAAAUGCGUAGAUAUUGGGAGGAACACCAGUGGCGAAGGCGGCUCACUGGACCGGUACUGACGCUGAUGCGCGAAAGCGUGGGGAGCAAACGGG
rnacentral:rRNA from 1 species